ACUUAAAUAGUUUAAAUAAAAUAUUAGCUUGUGGCGCUUAAGAUGUAAAACUUACUUUAAGUA
rnacentral:tRNA from 1 species